rnacentral:lncRNA from 1 species
UAAAAAUUCCCGAAAGGUAAAAUAUGCUUAAUGGAUAUUUGCAUAACGUGGCGGAAUGCGCGCGUCGGAACGGUCACAAAUAAGCGGCGAAGGGGGAUAUUUUUACAAAGGGUGCAGCGGGAGUCGCUAACGUGACGUUCCGUCGUUUUAUGUAACGAUAUUUAGCAACACACAUACACAUACACCACGACCAUUUGCAUAGGCCCAUCGGUCGGAUGGGUCGCUCCAGUAGAGGGAAGCACCGUAGAGCCCGACGUAAGGCGGAAGCCGCAAUACAUCCCGCAUCUACUAUUGCGACAAAGGCAUCAAGGUCUUACGUCCCUCACGUACGUGACGAAAACAUUAGAGUAGAAGAAACAACACAUUUUAUCCUUCCAACAUGCCUGGAAGAUAUGUCGUCAGAUCUACAUAACCACUGCCAAAUUUGAGAUCUCAAUGAAACUGGGUUAAUGAAUAGUUUUUGUAAUAUAUAGAAAAAUGUUAUAAUAAGUUGUAAAGAUAAACUGAUAAACUACAAAUUAUAAUUUUGUUUCUUGUUAAAAGUUUGUAAAUGAGCAUUUAAUAAAGAUGCUAUUAUAAAGUUGCUUUAAGUGAAAAAAUC